CGGGGGGCCCUUUACCAUGCCAGUUCGAACGGUAACGCGGGGCACCUGUUUGACGAGUGGCGAACGGGUGAGUCCAUUAAAAGGAAAGAGCCCGUAGUGGGGGAUAGCCCGGCGAAAGCCGUCAAAAAAAAAAGCAUACGACCUACGGGUGAAAGCGGGGGAUCGCAAGACCUCGCGCUGUUGGAGCGGCCGAUGUCAGAUUAGGCAGUUGGUGGGGUAAAGGCCUACCAAGCCGACGAUCUGUAGCUGGUCUGAGAGGACGACCAGCCACACUGGGACUGAGACACGGCCCAGACUCCUACGGGAGGCAGCAGUGGGGAAUUUUGGACAAUGGGCGCAAGCCUGAUCCAGCCAUGCCGCGUGCGGGAAGAAGGCCUUCGGGUUGUAAACCGCUUUUGUCAGGGAAGAAAUCGUUCGGGCUAACACCUCGAGUGGAUGACGGUACCUGGAGAAUAAGUACCGGCUUAUUACGUGCCAGCAGCCGCGGUAAUA
rnacentral:rRNA from 1 species